GAUGAACGCUAGCGGGAGGCUUAACACAUGCAAGUCGUGGGGCAGCACGGGGUAGCAAUACUCUGGUGGCGACCGGCGCACGGGUGAGUAACGCGUAUGCAACCUACCCAGUACAGGGGGAUAGCCCGGAGAAAUUCGGAUUAAUACCCCAUAAUGAUAUUAAGAGGCAUCUUUUAAUAUUUAAAGCUUCGGCGGUACUGGAUGGGCAUGCGUAAGAUUAGCUAGUUGGUAGGGUAACGGCCUACCAAGGCUCCGAUCUUUAGGGGUCCUGAGAGGGUGAUCCCCCACACUGGUACUGAGACACGGACCAGACUCCUACGGGAGGCAGCAGUGAGGAAUAUUGGUCAAUGGGCGCAAGCCUGAACCAGCCAUCCCGCGUGAAGGAAGAAGGCGCUAUGCGUUGUAAACUUCUUUUCCGGAGGAAUAAAAUCUUGUACGCGUACAGGACUGAAGGUACUCCGGGAAUAAGCAUCGGCUAACUCCGUGCCAGCCGCCGCCGUAAUAC
rnacentral:rRNA from 1 species